GUGGGGAAUCUUAGACAAUGGGGGAAACCCUGAUCUAGCCAUGCCGCGUGAGCGAUGAAGGCCUUAGGGUUGUAAAGCUCUUUCAGCUGGGAAGAUAAUGACGGUACCAGCAGAAGAAGCCCCGGCUAACUCCGUGCCAGCAGCCGCGGUAAUACGGAGGGGGCUAGCGUUGUUCGGAAUUACUGGGCGUAAAGCGCACGUAGGCGGAUCAGAAAGUCAGAGGUGAAAUCCCAGGGCUCAACCUUGGAACUGCCUUUGAAACUCCUGGUCUUGAGGUCGAGAGAGGUGAGUGGAAUUCCGAGUGUAGAGGUGAAAUUCGUAGAUAUUCGGAGGAACACCAGUGGCGAAGGCGGCUCACUGGCUCGAUACUGACGCUGAGGUGCGAAAGCGUGGGGAGCAAACAGGAUUAGAAACCCCAGUAGUCC
rnacentral:rRNA from 1 species